GUUUAAAUAUUUACAGCUGUGACCAGGGGUGUGGACUGUGGUUCUGACACAGUAGAACAGGUGGUUUCAAUGGUUUCCUCCUUUUUCUGACACCGUGGACGUGACCGUAUUUAUUUACGCUGUCUUUCUCUCACACAUUCCUUCCCAGUGAUCCAGGCCUGGAGCUGCCAGACGAGGACGUGGAGUCCAGUCCACCGAGUCCAGGCCGACGUCCACUCUUUGACUGUGUUUUAAAACAAACCAGUGAAAACUCCUGGGAGCGGGACAGACGUGAGACGACUGAGAGAGCCAGAUGACCACGUGACCUCUCUGUGUCCAGUGAUGGUGGGAGUAAAUGACGGUGUUGUCUGCCUUCAUAAUUCAACCAUCGAUACCAUCGAUACCAUCGACACCUUCAGACCAGGCUGCAGUAAAUAAUCACAAACACCUUCAACAGACACGUGACAAAACAUGGGCCUCAAAAAAAAAAAAAAAGAAGAAAAAAAA